GAAGACUCAGAAGAUGAUGACUAUAGUCCUGAUGAUCCAGAUAAGGAUGAGCCGGUUAAGACAGAAAGUUCAAGUUCUGACUUUACUUCUGACUCUGAGGAUCUAGGUCUGAUAGUUGAUACUAAUAGGCUGCCAGGUGAUAAGCUAGGGGUUUCCAGUUUAGUAGAUAACAGUAAGCACAGCCUGAUAGUUGAUACUAAUAGACUGCCAGCUGAUGAGCUAGGGGUUUCCAGUUCAGUAGAUAACAGUAAGCACAGCUCGGCUUCCCAAGAGGAAAAACCUAAAGGUGGCCGAGCUAAAAAAAAUUCGUUGAACAAUG
rnacentral:lncRNA from 1 species